UUAAUUUUUGAGCUUAAAUCAAGAAAUGAAAAUUGGAUCUGUACAUCAUAUCUAUAUCAUAAAAUCGAGAUAGAUUUUAAUUCUCAAAUCCCUAAUUUCUUCCCUUUAUAAUUACUAUUUUUUUUUUUACUGCUGGUAAUUAAAUCACAUAUAAGCGAUUGUGGUAAUUGAAGGACGACUCCUUUUCUUCCAUUGAAACAGCAAAAUUCUCAUCCCUUAAGAUCUUCCUUUUACUAGCAAUGAAACUCUCAAUUGUAUGCCUAAACUCUUCGCUGUUCAUUUCCUGCAUUGAUUUUCUUGUCAGAGUACGGCCACCAGCGACCACCAUUUCUCUUCCGUUCUCUGUCCCCGAUCGCCGCAGCUCUCGUCGUUGACUCCUUUUUAUCUUCUCUAUUGCGUAUUUCUCUGAUCGUGUUCUCCUGAAACUCUUUGUCUCAUCGCUAUCAGCCUUAUAAGUUUCUGUCACCGCAAGUUCAUUAACUGGGUUCUUCUCCACUGGAGCACAAUUAGCAUUCUCGUAAUGAACUAUCUGUUUGUUGUGAAAGGUAUUCUCGUCAGGUUGAACCUCUACUGCCGCCGGUGAGACUACUACCAAUUGUUUUUCCCCUUCCGCUGUUGUUCUCCGGCGAGAGGAGGGGGAGAAGGAGAAGGAGACGUACUGAUCAUAAAGAUCAGGCUGAGACGCGGAGUCGUUCUUUCCACCGGCGGCGGCUGCAGAUAAAUGGUAGAUAACCAAAACCAUAGCGUUUAUGAGGAGGAAAACGAGUAAAUGAUGGUUCAAAACGGAGAGAUAAGCUUUGGCCAUCUCAUGGACAACCGGAAGCCACGAGAAGGAGCAGAAAAGGAGAGUGAAGGCCCCUGCUAAAGGAAGAGAGAAUCUAUAGAUUCUUUCUCUCUUGUAUCUUCUCAUGGCAUCGGCUUUCUCAGCCUUGACAAUAUCAAAUUCAAAAGAAGACAUUUUCAGAGGUUGGGGUUUUGGGAUGCUUGCAGAGGAGAAUUGUGCAGAGAAGAGAAGGAAAGUGAAGACAGUGAGUGUGAGCUGAGUUCGAUGUUGGGUAACUAAAAAAGUUUCCUGUUUAGAGGAGGAUGAUAUUGAAGGAAACCGGCGAUUGAAGAGAUCUACU
rnacentral:misc_RNA from 1 species